GAGUGGUUCGUGUGUGGAAUAAACUACCAGAGGAAGUGGUGGAUGCAACAUGUAGAAGACAUUUGGAACAUGAUUUACAUUAGAAUAUGGGCAGAGCAGCAUGCCUCUGAAUAAUGCACAUAGCAAUGAUCACAAGCCAACAUGAUGCUAGACACCUUUGGCAUGAAUUUAUUCAUAUUGUCAAGCAGCGGUUGUGUUACUGGAGCAAAGUUUCAGAUUUCAAAACUUCUUGGAAACUUUACAUUGUGAGGUCAUGCAGAGAACUAAUUACUGACUUUCAUGAACAUUUUUAGGGAAAACAGCGAAUGCGAAUUCAAAACAAGGCAAACGGAGAGCUCUGAACAACAAAGGGAGCUGUAAUCUCAGUCUGAGCUGUGCUCUACACAAUGCUCAGUUGUUCAAUAGAAUGUGCAGCCACUGUAAAACAAUGAGAGUCUAAUCUUCUGAGCUAAAGGAUCAGGCAUUUACACAGCAGUUUGCGCUCUUCCAGCCUCAUGCAAUGAGCCAGUAUUCUCUUUGCCACAGCAUGACACCUCGGACUACCCAACAGAGAGUCCGAGUUGCCCAUUUGUUCUUCGGCCUACAACAGUGGUGUCUGAAUGUAUUGAAGGGACAGCACAGAAGUUUUGGAUUAUGGCUAAUGUGCCACCAUAGGCCUAUAAUCUCUUCAGACAACUGGGUUGAAAUAAGUAUCUGUUACAGAAACUGCCUUCAUCUUACCCCCUUCUGAGUCGCCCAGCUCUGAUACCUGACACUGAAACAACUGGGGCCAUUCUGCACUAAUCAGGCAUUAGCUGCUAAAGCUGUAUGGAGAACAGUUAAUCUCCAUAUUUACUCCAUCUGUGCAUCUCAAACUGAUUUACACUGGGCUUUGUAGAUCAAAGGAAGUUUGUAAAGUCAGAUUAUUGGGGUAAGGGGAUGAAGAACUGUGCUAGUGGCCCAGCUAUCCACUGAUCUCAUUAAUGCUGCUUGGAGUGUGUAAAAAAAGCACUUCUUAUUAGUUAACCCUCAACCAGUUCUUUAGUGUCUUCAAUCCUGUUAACACUUACUGCUACAUUCCUGAGCAGAGUUCGAGAAACUCUGUGUUACACAGGAUUACAUUUCUUCCAGUAAUGUACACUGAAUGUGAAAAACAAGGCAGUUUAGUAGGCAACAAGUAAUGACCUUUAAAGAUUUCUUAUACUUUUUAAAUCAAACUGUCCAGACAUAUUAUGACACAGAUAGAACUUGAACAUAACCCUAUGGCUCAGCAGUUAGGGAUACCACCAAUGAGUCACAAAAAUCCUUUUAUAUUUUAACUCGCAUAUACACAGUUUUUUUUAAUGUAUUAAUACUCCCCAAGACACUUCAUGGUUAUGCUAUCAAAUCAAAUGGGUCAAAUCCUUUUUCGUGUUUUUUUGAGAAAAAAAAUAAACUUUCACACUUAUUGAGGAUUUGCAGCAGACGAUAUAGUUUUUUUUCAAAUAUUUGGACAGAUUUAGGUUCUGGAGUAAGUAAAAAAAAAAGUAUUUUUUUACUUUUAUAACAUCAAAUGGAGACUUAUCAUUUAUACAAGUUUACUGCCCUUAGAUUAUUUGAGGAAUAAUUAUCCAGAAAUACUCCUUCCUCUGUCAGUCUCUGUUCAACAGGCAAGAGGGAAAGCAGUAAAUAAAUAUUUUAAGCCCUUAAAAUAUUGAGUAGUACUAAAUACAUAAAAGAAAAAAAAGGCUCAUAACAUGUUGUUAAAUGGUUCAAGGUAAUGAUUGGUUGAGACCCAUUUCUCCACCCCACUGGGAAUUCUGUGCACAGUUUCCAUCUCACUGUCCCAAGUUGCAGAAACUUCAGUUUCCACUUAGACACUUUACAGCCUUCAGAAUUCAACAGCAGCCUUGCUGUUGCCAUUUUUAUAGCACACCUGUGCCUAAACCCCAUCCUCAUUUGUCUUGUUUACAUGAGUGACGUUAAUUCAGUGAGAUUCUGAGGAGACGCUACACUAUCAGAGACGUGGCCUUCACCUCAAAAGGUGUUAAACCAAGCCCUACUCUGCUUUCAGAAAU